UGAGCGUGUGUGUACACAGCAGGCACUCAGCAUUUGUUGAGUGAAUCAAGGAUGAAGCUUGCCCAGGAGCAAUGAGUGUGGUGGGCGCUCGGCAAACAGCAGGUAAGUUGGUGAUACGCGUGUCACUGCGUCAGUGCUGCUAUAAGAGAAUGCCUGAGACUUGGUCAUUUAUAAAGGACAGAAAUGCACUCUCUCUUGCAGUUCUGGAGACUAGGAGUCCAAGACCAAGGCACUGGCACCUGGUGUGGGCCUCCUGAUGGCAUCUUCACCUGGCGGAAAGGAAGAGGGCAGGAGAGGCUGGAUGCUGUGUCCUCCCAUGGCAGAAGAGCAGAAGAGAGCCCACGUCCACAGCGGCCAUCAGUAGGGCAGAGCCAAGCAGCCUCAGCACCUCCCAUUAGCUGCCCCCGGCACUGUUGCGUUGGGAUUGUUUCCAACUGAAUUUGGAGGACACACUCAAGCCCCAGCAAUGAGUCACACGAAACUGUUCGUCAUCUGUAAUUCAGAGACACAUUCUGGCGGACGCAGGCUCUGGAUACCCCACUCACUCGCUCGUUUUCCACGUAUUCUGAGCUGCCCUGCUUCAGGCCCUCUGUUGCAGACUGUGACUACAACCACCAAGAAGGUGUGCCCCUCGGCCUCUCAGCCUUCACCAAUGUGGAGGGCAGGCAACCUGGUGCAAGAACAAGCACAGGCUCACAUCCUGGUGCCAUGACUUACCCGCUGCGCCCUGGGGUCCAACAAUUUAACCACCCCAAACUCCAUUCAUCCAUGUCACUGAGGUUAGCUGAACUUACCUUGAAAGUUCGCUAUGAAGAGUGAAUUAUUUCUUGCACAGGAAUGUUUACUGUAGUCUGUGGCCCAGAAGAAUUGGUACUUUGAAACUUCAAAAACUCCUUGUUAUUGGGUACCUUAAGAGGACUUGGUUCUAUUUGUGAUGAGGAAGCUUUGCCCUCUCUAGGGCUAGCGCCAAAUAGCAACAUGGACUUUGAGAAGGUAGUACCGCAGCCCUGCCUUCCCUCCCUGAUCCCAGUGCUCUUUUUUGGAGAACUUUAUUACUACCAACACAUUACAGUGUACCUGCCACCAUGAAUUAGUCUUCUAAAACCAUGAGCCCCAAAUUCGCUUUCCCUCCUGAGAGUUGUUCUUGGUAUCUUGGUCACAGAGGUGAAGAGCAGGCGCUGUCUAGUUAUUGUGCCUGGAUGUCACAUAAGCCACACGACAGCCCUGGUGGGAUUAGGAGCUGCUCUAGGAACCAUUUCCCAGGUGAUGCAAUGCCGGCAAGAGGGCUAACCAGGCUCCUAACCCAGGUGGCUGUCUCCAGUGUGUACACCUGGCCCUGCCCCCUCCUGGCUCGUUGACCUUAUCCUCUGAAGCUUGGAGACCACAUUGGAAGGUGACAACAGCGAGAAGCUUCUCCUGGGGUAGUGGAGGACGACAGGGAAGCCAUGGACACAGCUCCUGGGACGAGGUGAGAAGUCAUAGCACAUAGGCAUCUGCCAACAUCCCCAUUAUUGUCAUCAUGGUCAUUACCACGGUGGUCACUGCCAUGUUUUGGAAAUGAAUCCCAAACGGCAGGACAGGUAACAGAGGGAAUUUUGUUGCUGUUGCUGCAUUAUUAAGAAAGAGUUCGCUGGUCUUAGAUUUUUGAAGCUGGAAAAAUCUCAGACACUUUAUAAGUCCCUGUGAUCUCAUAGAAAUCUGCACGACUGGAAUCAAUGUGUGAAAAGAGCAGAGUUUGUUUUUACCCCAGUUGAAAAUGUGCAAUGACAUAAUGUAACCCUUUAAGAUAACAGGAGCCAGCUGCCCCAUUCAUAUUUAAAUAUGAGUCACCUUCCAGGGAGACUUGCAAGAUUCUAUGUGCCAAGCUGGAAAAGUAAAAAUUGCCAGCAAGGAGGGAAAGAAUAAAUUCACACUUGAAGGAUGUGUUGCAGAGCCGCCCCGCACAGCAGAUUCUGGGGGCAGAGAGAGGCACCCUGGUGGCCAGAGGAAGAACUGCGGAGCCACAGUGCCACAAUCCAUGCGGAGACCUUGAGGCACCUGGAGGGUCCCUUUCACUUGAUUAAAAAUAUUUUGUUUUCUGUAUAAAUGGCCCCUAUUUCCAGGCACGUGAUUGUUAGAAACACAACAUAGUAAUUUCUGAAUAACACCCCGAGCUGCUGAGACCUCAGUGUUUGGCCAGCCAUCUCCAGGGUCUCCCAGGACAGCAGAGCUCUCUUAGAAGAAAGAGUCAAUUCCAAGUCUCAUCAAUAGGGCCAGCAAAGGUAAGGCCUGAAAUUUCAAAUGAAUGCCUCUCUUUGUGUUUGCUGAGAAACUAUCACAACAAACAAAAAUAGACAUAUAUUAAUGCUUGGGAAUGAUAUUUUAAAAAGCUAGUUACAUAUGUUUAUUGAAUUGAUAUACUCAUAUUCAUGAGGCUUCAGGUUAGUGUCAAAGAAUGAUAGACUGCUAACUAGGGUCCCUGAUGGCCUGACCAGGUUUGCUAUUUGUCUGCCAUUGUGAAUUUCUACCUGAGAUAAUUCAGGAUCAGUGAUCAGUGGCUGAAUCAAAACCCAGAAUUCACUUUAAUGUUGGCAGUUUGGGUCAGGCUGUGGCAUAGAGAAAGCCAUGUUCCUGUAAAACAUCCUGCUCACCAGGAAUAGAAGCAGGUGCUACCCUAGGAAUAGAAGCAGAUUGUUAGAGGAGAUAAACCAGCAAGUAUGAAGGUGAACUUGAGUUUCGUCUUUCAAUAAAACCUAUUGGAGGAUAACUCAGCCAUAUGAAUUCUAGACUUUGACUUCUAAUUUGAAUUCUUCUAAUUUAACUACAUAAUUCAAGAUGUACAUAGGCAUUUGGCAGUGAGGGCAUUUAAAAUAGCAUUGUGUAUUUACUAUUGACAAUGAAAGAUUGUUAAUAAAAAAAAGUGUUGAGAAUUUAUCAUAUCAAUACAGUGAAAUAUUUUGUGCUGUUAGAAGGAUUGUUUAGAAUUAUAUUUAUGGAGACAUAAAGAUAUACCCUAUAUAUUGCAAAUAAUAUGGUUGGUUGGUCUGGUUUUGUCUUCUGUAAUCCCAUUUAACUAGAAUCCUUGUCAUUAGUUUCAAAAAAUUGAGAUGGGGUGCAGGAGGCACAUGCCUGUAAUCCCAGAGACAGGGGAGGGUUAGGCAGGAGGAUCAAAAGUUUAAGGCCAGUCUCAGCAAUUUAGUGAGGCUCUAAGCAACUUAGUGAGACCCUGUCUCAGAAAAACAAAAAUAAAAAGAAGCUUUGGAGAACCAAAUGACCCCCCAAGCCCUACCAGCCUCUGGUGCUAGGAAUUGAACAUAGGGCCUUGGGCAUGCUAGGCAAGCACUACCACUGAGCUAUAUCCCAUGUCCUUAAAAAUAAUUAUGAAACGUCUUUCCUAUGUGACCUCUUUCCAUUCCCAUUAAUUAUUAAAUUUAUUUUGGUGGAGUUUAUUUUCUUAGCUGUGUAAAAGUAAUAUUUAGCCAGGUGUGGUGACACACACUUGUAAUCCCAGCAGCUUAGGAGGCUGAAGCAGGAAGAUCACAAGUUCAAAGCCAGCCUCGGCAAUUUAGCGAGGCUCUAAGCAACUUAGUAAGACUUUAUCUCAAAAUAAAAAUAAAAAUUAAAAAAAUUUUCAAAAAGGCUAGAGGUGUGGCUUAGUGGUUAAGAGCAUUCCUGGGUCAAUCCCAGGUACAUUAAAAAAAGAAAGAAAGAAAGAAAAAGAAAAAAAAUUAUUAGAUUUCAUUAAAGAGAAACCAAAAUAUAAAGCUUAUUUUCUUAAUUCCAUAGCUACUUGCUCAUAAGAAAAGCCUACAGAAAUGAUCACCUGUGAGGAUAUUCCCACUGUAAUAACGUCCCCAUGAAGAUUGUGGUGUCCCUCAUCUUCCAGAGAGCCAGUUCAAGAUCUCUCAGUGUGAGCCCACUGCAUGGCCAGGGAAUAUAUUUUGCAGGAGUAAAGAGGCAUUCCUGGUGCUUAUCUGCCCUCUCUCCUCUUACCUCGGCAACUUCCAACAGUUACAAGAGAUUGUGAGGGUAGCAAAAUGAGUAUUCAAGAGGAGACGUUUUGCAGUUUCUGUGUGAAGUCUCGAGUGUGCCUGGUGUGGGGGCUACUGCAGCAAGACCAAACUCUGGUGAGUGUGAGGCUUGGGGAACGUGUUCUGCUUAGCGCGUAAUUUGCUGAAAGACAACUUGGGAUGGCAUCCUGGCAUUGAAGUUACCCGUGAUGUCACAUUUACAGGUAUGUACUUGUGUUUAGCUCAGGGAUCCUCAUGCUUGGCCCCUCUGACGUUUGGGGCUGAAUAAUUCCUCAUCGUGGGGGACUGGCCUGUGCACUGUGGGGUGUUUAGCAGCUGUGGCCUCCCUUCACUUGGACACCAGUAGAUUCUGUAUCCCCCACCUCCUGAAUUGCAAAUAGUGAAAAAUGUCUCCAAAAGUGCCCAAUGUCACCUGGGGUGGGGGUGGGGCAAAAGUGGACCAUUUGAGAACCUCCGUCUUAGAUUGAGAUAAGAAUUAUUUCAGAACAGCAAGAACAUGAAUGAUACGCUGUCUUCUUUCUGCCUAUUUUGUUCUAAGGUACACACGUUGACGUGUAUCACUUAUGUAUUAGAAAAAAACUCAAAAGACAAAACCAUCCCUAAUGAGCAAAUCAGCACCCCAAAAAGCAGAACUCACACUGCUGAAUUUCUCACCGUCUUUGGGGUAGUGCUGUGCAUCACAGUUUGUGGUGGCUUCAUGCACACUUAUCUUAGGGAGCCUUUAAAUCUAGCGAGGCAGGUGGCUUAGGGUAAUUGCAUUCCUUCUUUACAGAUAGAAAAGCUGAGCUCUACUACAAUGUCACCCUACACAGCCGAAGUCACACUGGAGCUCAGCCCUCUUGGCCCCUGAUCCUCCCUAUAGGAGUCCACAGCCUUUUCCCUGUGCACAAUCCUCGAGGCUCUGAGUUCUGUUUCCCCGGGGUUCACUUCCUGUGCUCAGGCAGACUUCAGUGGAGUAGGGAGCAGAGGGGCAGGGCACCUCCCUGCUGAAGGUGCAAGCCGCCGUGGGACCCCAGGUGGAGGACCACUUUCAUGCUUGGGUUCCCCUGUGCAGUCCCACCUCAUGUUGGAGUUCUCAAUGCACGAGGGGGCUGACGCGUGGCAGUCUGUGAGGUAGUCUCUAUUAAAUCGUUUGCAUAUUUAGCUUCUCUGUGUCCGGAAUUCGCAUCCAUCUUGCAAAAUUGUACUGGAGUUAAUUCACUUACUUGCCAGGGAGAAACCCUUCUGGGUUUCCCACUCUAGGGCAUUUCUGGGGGUCUCUCCUGUUUUCAUUGGUGCAUUUCCUCUGAUACAAUUAACACUAAUGGGGACCAGGCAUGUGUAUCGACAGACGCACGAGCCCAUGUGUUAGAAAUUGAAUCUCUCAGUCUAGGUGUGCCUUGGAUAAGGUACAGUAAUUAUUAUUAUCCAUUAAUACCAGAGUGCACAAAUAUCACUGGGAAGUAAAUAUUUAAUAUUUCACACUCAUUGCCUUCUUUUAGUUUUUAAUUUGCUAUUGUGCAUAACAAGCAAAUGGUACAUACCUUCUUUCUCCCCUCUUAAAAUUAAGCUCCUUUAAUUUUGCAGAGCAUCUAGUCGUUAAACACAAACUCUCUCAUUUUCUCACAUUGGAUAUUGAACAUUCCAGCUAUCUGCAGAGAAGUCGGCCUGUAGAUAGAGGUGGGUGUGAGAAAUCUUGUCUUAGACUUUCAUUUUAAUUUUAAGAGCAUUACUGCCCGCCCCAGUGACUGCACUUUUAAUUUAACCUACUGUGCUCACUUUCUUAGGUUUCAAAACUGACAAGUGAACCGGGAGGAGGGAGGCGUUAUGUCGUGUUGGACUUGGCACAACUCCUUCCAAAGCAACAUCGCCCGUCUUUGUACCCUGGAACAGAGCACAAAGAGGGAGACCGGCACAUAAUUUGGCUCUGCAAAUAAUUUUUGAAUUAAUCAAAUCAGUCUGUGCCUCCUAACUCCUGCACUCCGCUCUUGGCUCCCCAGUCUGUUGGUCUGGCAUCCUCUCCUGUUCUGUCCUUGGUGUGACCUUCAAAUCUGACCAUUUGUCUUCAGGUUUGUGGCUCUCUGCUCUGUGUUAUUGAAGCCUGUGAGGCUCCGGCUAUGUCUCUGCUUGCCAUCCAUGACAUUAAUCCCCAACGCUAACAGAGGGCUCCCAGAAUCCCUGUUUGUGUUUGCUUAGAUUCAGGAUUGUAAAUGCAACUGUGUCCAAG
rnacentral:lncRNA from 1 species